rnacentral:rRNA from 1 species
GAUGAACGCUGGCGGCGUGCCUAAUACAUGCAAGUCGAGCGAACAGACGAGGAGCUUGCUCCUCUGACGUUAGCGGCGGACGGGUGAGUAACACGUGGAUAACCUACCUAUAAGACUGGGAUAACUUCGGGAAACCGGAGCUAAUACCGGAUAAUAUAUUGAACCGCAUGGUUCAAUAGUGAAAGACGGUUUUGCUGUCACUUAUAGAUGGAUCCGCGCCGCAUUAGCUAGUUGGUAAGGUAACGGCUUACCAAGGCAACGCUGCGUAGCCGACCUGAGAGGGUGAUCGGCCACACUGGAACUGAGACACGGGCCAGACUCCUACGGGAGGCAGCAGUAGGGAAUCUUCCGCAAUGGGCGAAAGCCUGACGGAGCAACGCCGCGUGAGUGAUGAAGGUCUUCGGAUCGUAAAACUCUGUUAUUAGGGAAGAACAAAUGUGUAAGUAACUAUGCACGUCUUGACGGUACCUAAUCAGAAAGCCACGGCUAACUACGUG